rnacentral:rRNA from 1 species
UACGUAGGGAGCAAGCGUUGUCCGGAAUCAUUGGGCGUAAAGCGCGCGUAGGCGGCCCCGUAAGUCCGCUGUGAAAGUCAAAGGCUCAACCUUUGAAAGCCGGUGGAUACUGUGGGGCUAGAGUCCGGAAGAGGCGAGUGGAAUUCCUGGUGUAGCGGUGGAAUGCGCAGAUAUCAGGAGGAACACCAAUUGCGAAGGCAGCUCGCUGGAACGUAACUGACGCUGAGGCGCGAAAGCGUGGGGAGCAAACAGG